GGGGGCACGAAGGGCUUGGGUUGGGGUUGAUAAAAAGAGCUAUGCCCUUCCAGCAUGGAGAUUAAUUUGAAGUGCUUUGAAGUCCCUUCACUGUGAAUAAACAGGUAAAAUGUUUUUCUCUAAAAUAAAAAUACAUGGCUUCAUA
rnacentral:lncRNA from 1 species